UGUGACCCCGAUUCGAUCGAGUCUCGCGGUAAACGCGCUUAGAGACAAUCGAGGCCUAUGUUCUCUGACGACCCGAGAGAAUAAAAUUUCAGGACGAAAGGAUUGCGGGAAGAUGCGAGAGGCAGGACUUGCUAUUCGGACAAAGGCUCGCUUCUCACGCUGACCAUAGGCAUCAUCGGCAUCGUGGACAUUCUUUCCUCCGAUCGGGAUCGUAUUUUCGGUCGACCGUAUGACGACAGUGUUCUGCCGAGCCCGGAAUCUAUCAUUCCAUCGAUGAGAAGGCAUCUCAUAGUCGGCCAUGACCACUCGGGUUAGAGUGCUCUUAAUCGCAUCAGUCUCGAACGGUGGCUUGCCCACUAAUAAAGUAUACAACAUGCAUCCCAAGCUCCAUACAUCUGCCUCUGGACCA